CACACAGGAACUUAAGUGCCAUAUUUUUCACAUUAAAUCAAGCUACAAGUUUCCCAGCUGACAGUAAUAUCAACAAAAUUUAUGAAGAACAGUUUCAUUAAUGGCUCACUGACCUGUACCCAUCUUUCACAUGGUACCUCUGACUGUGGGGCUCUCCUGACACACUAAAGCAGCUCUACAAGAACAGAUGAAAAGCAAGAAAAGCACACUCCACAUUUGUCCUGUGCCUCUGUGCUCUUUUCCUUGGGCUCUUUUCAAAUGACCCAUGAUUCACUUCAGAGAGCUGUGAAUUUAAGGACUGAUCUGAACUGAGCUCCUGGCCAACACAAGCAAUGGAUUUUCACUCUGGAAUUCCUGUUUCUGGACCAUUAUUUUUCAA